AUUUAUUGUUAGCUGCAAUAAGUUAAUAUUGCUUGAGUGAGAGAAAAAACAUGAAAAAAAAAAGAAGGAAAGAAUUGUUUACGAACCGCAUAGUGCGUGCGUGGCUGGGAAGAGGUUAAUUAUCAAGAUUGGCAUGUCGGUUUACUCGGCAUAUCUUCUACCAACUAAUCGAGGUUAUCCCACUGCCCCUGUUUCACUCUGAACAAUUCACCCCCGCGACUCUCCUUGACCACCCAUACUCGACACUGGCGUCUCGUGGUCUGCGGUGCUGCCACCAAUAGCUUCCUUCGAAAAUCAGGAACAUGGCGCGUGAGGGUGAAGGGGGUAGUGGCAGUUUAGAAGCGAGGACAGCAUGUUCACGCGAAGGAAUCAUAUCAAUCGUGAUAUCUGUAUUCUUCACAACACUAAUCUAUCCCUAUUAAUCUUGAAUUGCAUUAUGAAUUUUUCCGCUAUGUUAUUCUCAAUUAUUCAUUGGAUUGGUUUACCGUAAUGGCGGACUUAUUCACCCCAACGUGUUUCCAUUUGCACAAUAUGUGAAAUUGUAACCGUGGCUUGGUGCUAACAGGAUUUUCUUCCGUUCGAUUGAACUUCGGUGAUACUCCCUGUGCGUCGGUCUCGAUUCGCGUCUCACCCUAGUCAAUCUCCAUCUCUUUCGCUCGAUGCGCGGUAAGCGUGUCGUCAUCACCCACCCUUUCCCAAUUUCCGUACCUCGUUACAUCGCACCCUGUAUAAGUGGUGCUGCCACCGUGCGGCGCGAUACAGGGCGUAUCACCGGAACAGUGGGACGCGGAGGGUGUUGCGUCGCAUCUUGUCGAGUGAGUCGGCACGAUCGCGGGACAGAAGUAGGAUCGCGUCCUCCAGUAUCAGUGCACGUUGUCGUGCGCGUCAUUUCCCCUCCUGUCACGAGGGUCACUUCUCCCUGGUGCUCCCUUUCCCUUGUCCUUGAGCGCGACUUAACCCCUUCCGGAAAUCGGCGGAGUGGCGUGUGCGAGUCAGGAUAAAAGGAAUAGACAAUCGCUUAGUAGUGACGCGUGCAUGAGGCCGGGGAAGCCGGCGUGCCGGGUUCCGUCCCGGCUACGCGGCGGUAAGUUCUCGGGCCCUUCGUCGCAGUCAUUUUCCCUGCGUUCGCAGAGCGCGCCGCGAAUCGGUGAUCGCAAAGCCGAGAGGAAAAAGGCUGCCGAGAGGAAAAGGUUGGCAUUUACCGAGGGCGAGCGGAAGGUGCGCGGGAUCGUCGGCAGGGGCAGCCACGGAGGUCGGAGAAGUGGAGUCAUCGCGGGUGGCGAUCAUCGCGGGUUUGAAUGGGUGGGCCGGGCGCCGGUAGGGUUACCAGGCACGAGCUGAACGCGGUGCCCCAGAGCCACGUCGGUCACGGGGAACGUGUCCUUGGCGAGCCACCAGCAUCAGGCUGCCGCUGUCAUCCCUCGGAGCGAUUGUCCGCCGGUGCCGUCCGUUCCUCCGCCCAACUGCCACCCUCGCCACCGCCGCUUACCUCUUUACAUAUCGGCAACAACAACGGCACUGUGUGCGCUGUCAUCAGCGCUAACAACAUCAUCACCACCACCACUGCAAAACAGAGUGAUAGAAAAGCUAAAAAGGCGGCCGCCAUGUCUUCACCGCCGAAACAUCGUAGGGGCUUCGACCCCAACGACCCAUCGGAAUUUCACCGCUAUCGUCGUGUUAAGACGAAGCAGCGAUCGCUGCCGAAACUCAGCAGCCAGGACGAGGAUGGAACGAAUCCUCACACCCAAUACACAGGCGUCACACAUUUCGAGCCCAUACCGCACGAUCAUGAUUUCUGCGAGAGGGUCGUCAUCAACGUGAGCGGGCUACGGUUUGAGACACAACUGCGUACGCUGAACCAAUUUCCGGACACGCUGCUCGGCGAUCCGACACGGCGGCUCCGAUACUUCGAUCCGCUACGCAACGAAUACUUCUUCGAUCGGAAUCGACCUUCCUUCGAUGCUAUACUCUACUACUAUCAGAGCGGCGGCCGCCUACGCCGCCCGGUCAACGUCCCGCUCGAUGUCUUUUCCGAAGAGAUCAAGUUCUACGAGCUGGGCGAGAUGGCGACUAAUAAGUUCAGGGAAGACGAAGGCUUCAUCAAGGAGGAGGAAAAGCCGCUGCCGUCGCACGAGUUUCAGAGGAAGGUUUGGUUGUUGUUUGAGUAUCCGGAGAGUUCGCAAGGCGCCCGGGUGGUCGCCAUAAUCUCCGUGUUCGUGAUCCUCCUAUCGAUCGUGAUCUUCUGCCUGGAGACGCUGCCCGAGUUCAAGCAUUACAAAGUCUUCAAUACGACGACAAACGGCACGAAGAUCGAGGAGGACGAAGUGCCGGAUAUCACGGACCCGUUCUUCCUAAUAGAGACUAUUUGUAUCAUCUGGUUCACAUUCGAGUUAAUAGUGCGCUUCCUCGCCUGCCCAAACAAAUUCAACUUCUUCCGUGACGUAAUGAACAUCAUCGAUAUCAUCGCGAUCAUUCCGUACUUCAUCACCCUCGCCACGGUAGUGGCCGAGGAGGAGAACCCGCUGGAUGUACCUAAGGCGCCAGUAAGCCCGCAGGACAAGAGUACGAACCAAGCAAUGUCCCUGGCGAUACUCAGGGUGAUCAGGCUAGUCAGAGUGUUCCGGAUAUUCAAGUUAUCUAGGCAUAGUAAAGGCCUCCAAAUCCUCGGGCGGACUCUCAAGGCCUCCAUGAGGGAACUCGGAUUGCUCAUCUUUUUCCUCUUCAUCGGUGUGGUGCUAUUCUCGUCGGCGGUAUACUUCGCGGAGGCCGGCUCCGAGAAUUCGUUCUUCAAAUCCAUUCCGGACGCGUUCUGGUGGGCCGUUGUCACGAUGACGACCGUGGGCUAUGGUGACAUGACGUAUGAUGCCCGUGGGAGUCUGGGGAAAGAUUGUGGGCUCAUUAUGCGCGAUUGCCGGUGUCUUGACGAUCGCUCUACCUGUCCCCGUUAUCGUCUCCAACUUCAACUACUUCUAUCAUCGUGAGACUGACCAGGAGGAAAUGCAGUCGCAAAACUUCAAUCAUGUGACCAGCUGCCCGUACCUUCCUGGCACUUUAGGUCUGAAGAAAAUCUCGAUGUCGGAAUCCUCGUCGGAUAUAAUGGAACUGGAGGAGGGCACCUUGUUUACUCAUCCAGAGAUAACUAAGAAGUCAAAUUGCAACCCUCGCCACAAUAACAAUAUCAAUCCAGCCUGCAUGAGCAUCGAGACUGACGUUUGACUACUAG
rnacentral:misc_RNA from 1 species